rnacentral:rRNA from 1 species
AUCUAUUAGUCUUGACCAAAUCAUGUGCCAGCCGUCGCGGUAAGACAUGGAAGACGAGCGCUAUUCAUCUUUAACAGGUUUAAAGGGUACUUAGACAGUUAAUUAAGCCUACAUAAGGGACUGACUAACUAGAGUUUAAUAGGAAAAGGAUAGAACGGUAUGUGGAGAGAUAAAAUAUUUUGAUACUUGCUAAAAUCUGACAACGGCGAAGGCAACCUUUUAUGUAAAAACUGACGUUAAAGGACGAAGGCUAUAAAUAAAGAAUAGGAUUAGAUACCCUAGUAUUCGUAGCAGUAAAUGAUGAGUGUCAUAGGUAAGUAAUAGCUUACGUAUAAAUGAAAGUGUAAACAUUCCACCUUAAGAGUAAAAUGGCAACAUAGGAACUGAAAUCAUUAGACCGUUUCUGAAACCAGUAGUGAAGUAUGUUAGUUAAAUUGAUGAUCCACAAAGAACCUUACCACAAUUUGAAUGUAAAUUCACAGGAGUUGCACGGCUGUCUUCAGUUGAUAUCGUGAGAUUUUGGUUAGCUCCAUUUAAUCAA